GACGAACGCUGGCGGCGUGCUUAACACAUGCAAGUCGAGCGAGGCCCUCCUUCGGGGGGUGCCCUACGCGGCGAACGGGUGAGUAACACGUGGGCGAACCUGCCCUCAGCUCUGGGAUAACUCCAAGAAAUUGGUGCUAAUACCGGAUGUGACCGCUGACCGCAUGGUCUGGUGGUGGAAAGAUUUAUCGGCUGAGGAUGGGCCCGCGGCCUAUCAGCUUGUUGGNGGGGUUACGGCCCACCAAGGCGACGACGGGUAGCCGGCCUGAGAGGGUGACCGGCCACACUGGGACUGAGACACGGCCCA
rnacentral:rRNA from 1 species